GCCUCCCGUUUCCGUGCAUCCUAGCUCUUGGUUGCCCACAUUUUUAAUCAUGAUAUGUUUUUGCAGCUUAACCUUUGGAAAUGUUCAAAUUAGUGAUUGGAUGCUAAUGGUUUGUUUCAAUGAAUCUUUUGCUGCUAUAUCUGAAAAUAUUAAUGACUACCGUAGGAUGCAUUCUAUCAAAUUACUUUGGUGAUGAAGGUUUCAAGAAACACAGAUCAGGAAAAACAUUUCUUGAUGACUUUGUUCUAAUGUAAUGGCUUGUCGAAGUUGCUUUACCAAAUUUCUGAGGCAGAGGAAUCAGAGCAGUAGAUUAACAUUUGAGUCACCCUAACAGGUUUAUUCAAGGCAGUUUUCCCAGUUGCUAUUAUUAUAUGUUGUCAAUAAUUUGUUUAUCUAAAUUCAGUCAAGUCAAUGGAUUCCCAAAAGUCUCCAUUUUUUUUUUAUUCUUAAACAGCUGUUACCUCUUCUGUUAAUUGGAAAAAAAAAAUGUAAUAUAGCUAAUAGAAUUAAUUAAUAGCUAUGUCAAAUUGAAAGCAAUUGGACUGCAGAAGCAUGCAUUUCUUGAAACUGGAUGAAAGUGAAAGCAAAAGGAAAAGGAAUCAAACUCACAACAAUGAAAAUUACAUUUUCAUUCAUCCAUCAAAGUUCACUGUUUUAUCAUUAAUUUUCUAAAAUGACAUCUUUCUUCUUAUGAUACAGGCAAUUUGCUACCUAACGAAUAUAAUGAGUGUUCAAUUAAGUGGCCAUAUAAUAUCCUUUUAUAGUUUAUGAUCCAAUUAGGGUCAAGCAUGAAUAUAUGUCAACUUGAUUAAAUAAAUUGAUUAUUAGUUACAGUCUAUUUACUUUUAAUGCAAGAUGCAAUCAAAUAUUUAUAAAUAUUACUUUUUUUAUUGUACACUUUCCAUUGACCUUGCACCAACUUUGGGAAGUAUUUGGUAAACCAUGAAAAUUAGAAGAGAAAUGUUGAUAUUUCAAUUCUCAGGAUCUGACGAGUAAAAUCCCAGAGCACAACCUUUUUGAUUAUUUGUUCAGACUAAUAACUCUUGUUUCUCCAUGUUGCCAGUGUUCAAAUUGCUGCAUAUUCUGCUCUGUAGUUCUGUUUUCUUGAAGCACUUGACAAUAGCAGAUCAAGAGGCAAAUCAGUUCAUCUACCAUGGUUUCAAUGGAGCCAACAUGCAUCUUAAUGGGAUUGCUAAAAUCCUCCCCAGUGGUCUAUUAGCGCUAACAAACAUUUCAUUCCAACAAACUGGCCACGCUUUCUUUCCAUUCCCUCUCAAAUUCAGUAAAUCUUCAUCCACCAAUUCUCAGUCUUUCUCAUUUUCUACCAAUUUUGUUUUCGCAAUUGUUCCUCAGUUGCCUGAUCUUGGUGGCCAUGGCAUUGCCUUCACUAUCUCUCCAUCUUUGGAGUUCACAGGGGCGUGGGCAAUAGGUUUCUUAGGACUUUUUAAUUCGACAGACAAUGGCUUGUCCUCAAACCAUGUUUUUGCUGUUGAGCUUGAUACUAUAUUUACACCUGAAUUUAACGACAUCAACAACAACCAUGUUGGAAUUGAUGUAAAUGGCUUGAUAUCCAAUGUAUCAGCUCCAGUGGCCUAUUUUCCAGAUAAUGAAAGGAAAAAUAAGAGCUUGGAGCUCAUAAGUGGAAAUCCAAUGCAGGUGUGGAUAGAUUAUGAUGACGUGGAGAAGCUUCUCAAUGUAACAGUAGCUCCUGUAAUAAGCAAGAAACCAGGAAAGCCUCUAUUGUCAACAAAUAUUGAUCUUUCUCUAGUCCUCUUGGAUUCAAUGUAUGUUGGUUUUUCUUCAUCCACUGGAUCAGUGGCAAGCUACCAUUAUAUUCUUGGGUGGAGCUUCAACAGAAGUGGGCCAUCUCAAAGUCUUGAUGCAUCAAAGCUUCCUUCACUUCCACCUAAAAGAGAAUCAAGUAAGAAACCAGAUUUAAGAAUCAUGGUCCCAUCAAUAACAGCAAGUGUUGUGCUGAUAGUAAUAUCUGGAUCAGCUAUUUAUAGGAGGAAGAGAUUUGAAGAAUUGUGCGAAGAUUGGGAACGGGAAUAUGGUCCUCAAAGAUUCUCUUACAGGGAUCUCUACAAAGCAACUAAGGGAUUCAAUGACAAACAGCUGCUGGGGUUUGGGGGUUUUGGAAGGGUUUACAGAGGAGUAUUACCUUCUUCCAAUACACAAGUUGCGGUCAAGAAAGUCUCACAUGAUUCUCAACAAGGAAUUAAGGAAUUUGUUGCUGAGAUUGUUACCAUGGGGAGGCUAAGGCAUAGGAAUCUGGUACAGCUCCUAGGUUAUUGCCGUCGAAAGGGAGAGCUGCUCUUGGUAUAUGAUUAUAUGCCUAAUGGAAGCCUUGACAAACUCCUAUUUCACAAUGACACACCAAACUUGAAUUGGGUUCGGCGAUAUCAAAUCCUGAGAGGAGUUGCAUCUGCCCUUCUUUAUCUCCAUGAAGAGUGGGAACAAGUUGUUCUGCACAGAGAUGUGAAAGCUAGUAAUGUUAUGCUAGGUGCUGAUCUUAAUGGACGGUUAGGAGAUUUUGGGCUAGCUAAGUUCUAUGAUCAUGGAUCAAUUCCUCAAACAACCUGUGUGGUGGGAACUGUGGGAUACCUUGCACCAGAGGUUUCAAGAACAGGAAGGGUCACUACCAGCAGUGAUGUUUUUGCCUUUGGGAUCUUAAUGCUUGAAGUGGCUUGUGGAAGGAGGCCUAUAGAGCCAGAAAGACCAUCUCAGGAGGUAAUUUUGUUAGACUGGGUUCUUGAAUGCUGGAAAAGAGGGAUCAUUCUUGAGACAAGUGAUCCUAGAUUGGAAGGUAAAUAUAUGGUGGAGGAAAUGGAAUUGAUUUUGAAGCUAGGGUUGCUUUGUACUCACCCUACACCAGCAGCAAGGCCUGUCAUGAGGCAAGUCAUGCAGUAUCUGGAUAGAAAUGCUUCCUUACCAGAUAUACUAUUGGAUGGUCCAGGUAUAGGUUUGGUCACAGUUUGCCAAGAAGCCACUAGAGAUUGCAAUUUGUCCUUCCCAGCAUCUAAUGUUUAUUCUGUGUUGUCAAUUACUGACUCAAUCCUUAGCUGUGGUCGUUGAAUCUGAAAAACUUUCCUUAAGCCACAGACUGAUAAUGUUUGACCUAUAGUUGCAAGCUUAAAAUUGGUGCCACAAAUUACAUGUAGUAAGGGUGAAGCAGAAUCCUGAGGAUCAUGUUGUGCAUAUUUACAAUGAAGAGUUGAUGUUCCACGGCUUCAAUGGAAAGAAAGAGGCCCAUAUGAAGUUUCCCAGUUUUGAACAUGUUUUGAGCUCUAGCUGCAAUGUUGAAAUUGGUGUUAUCAAUUUGAUGCAAUGGGUGGAGCAGAAUCCUAAGGAUCAUGUUGUGCAUAUUUCUGUUACUAGUUUUGAGCUUCUACAACUUACUAUGUUUUGCAAUUUUAAUCUCGAAUAAUUUUGUGGAUAUGUGUUUUCUUUCACAUAAUUUAUUAAUUUUACCUUAUCAAGGAUGUAGAAAUCAG
rnacentral:misc_RNA from 1 species